GGGAUAAUCGGGAGAAAUCCCGUCUAAUACCGCGUAAUGCCGCGGGGCUGCAUGGCCCUGCGGCCAAAGGGAGCGAUUCCGGCAACGGAUGGGCAUGCGUGACAUUAGCUAGUUGGCGGGGCAACGGCCCACCAAGGCGACGAUGUCUAGGGGUUCUGAGAGGAAGGUCCCCCACACUGGUACUGAAACACGGACCAGACUCCUACGGGAGGCAGCAGUGAGGAAUAUUGGUCAAUGGGCGCGAGCCUGAACCAGCCAAGUCGCGUGAGGGAUGACGGCCCUACGGGUUGUAAACCUCUUUUGUCGGGGAGCAAAUUCCGCCACGUGUGGCGGAGUCGAGAGUACCCGAAGAAAAAGCAUCGGCUAACUCCGUGCCAGCAGCCGCGGUAAUACGGAGGAUGCGAGCGUUAUCCGGAUUUAUUGGGUUUAAAGGGUGCGUAGGCGGACUGUCAAGUCAGCGGUAAAAUACGGGGGCUCAACCUCCGCCCGCCGUUGAAACUGACGGUCUUGAGUGGGCGAGAAGUAUGCGGAAUGCGUGGUGUAGCGGUGAAAUGCAUAGAUAUCACGCAGAACUCCGAUUGCGAAGGCAGCAUACCGGCGCCCAACUGACGCUGAAGCACGAAAGCGUGGGUAUCGAACAGGAUUAGAUACCCUGGUAGUCCACGCAGUAAACGAUGAAUAAUAGCUGUCCGGG
rnacentral:rRNA from 1 species